rnacentral:rRNA from 1 species
UACGGGGGGGGCAAGGCGUUGUUCGGAAUUACUGGGCGUAAAGGGCUCGUAGGCGGCCAACUAAGUCAGACGUGAAAUCCCUCGGCUUAACCGGGGAACUGCGUCUGAUACUGGAUGGCUUGAAUCCGGGAGAGGGAUGCGGAAUUCCAGGUGUAGCGGUAGAAAUGCGUAGAUAUCUGGAGGAACACCGGUGGCGAAGGCGGCAUCCUGGACCGGCAUUGACGCUGAGGAGCGAAAGCAUGGGGGAGCGAACAGG